UACGGAGGGAGCUAGCGUUGUUCGGAAUUACUGGGCGUAAAGCGCACGUAGGCGGCUCAGCAAGUCAGGGGUGAAAUCCCGGGGCUCAACCCCGGAACUGCCCUUGAAACUGCUAAGCUAGAAUCUUGGAGAGGCGAGUGGAAUUCCGAGUGUAGAGGUGAAAUUCGUAGAUAUUCGCAGGAACACCAGUGGCGAAGGCGGCUUACUGGUCCAUAACUGACGCUGAGGUGCGAAAGCGUGGGGAGCAAACAGG
rnacentral:rRNA from 1 species